rnacentral:rRNA from 1 species
UACCGGCACCCCGAGUGGUCGGGACGUUUAUUGGGCCUAAAGCAUCCGUAGCCGGUUCUACAAGUCUUCCGUUAAAUCCACCUGCUUAACAGAUGGGCUGCGGAAGAUACUAUGGAGCUAGGAGGCGGGAGAGGCAAGCGGUACUCGAUGGGUAGGGGUAAAAUCCGUUGAUCCAUUGAAGACCACCAGUGGCGAAGGCGGCUUGCCAGAACGCGCUCGACGGUGAGGGAUGAAAGCUGGGGGAGCAAACCGG